ensembl:lncRNA
GGAAGUGAGUGAGUGAGUGAGUGAGUGAGUGAGUGAGUGAGUGAGAGAGUGAGUGAGAGAGAGAGUGAGUGAGUGAGUGAGUGAGUGAGUGAGUGUGUGAGUGAGUGAGUGUGUGAGUGAGUGAGUGAGUGAGUGUGUGAGUGAGUGUGUGAGUGAGUGUGUGAGUGAGUGUGUGAGUGAGUGAGUGAGUGUGUGAGUGAGUGAGUGAGUGAGUGAGUGAGAGAGUGAGUGAGUGAGUGAGUGAGUGAGUGAAUGUGUGAGUGUGUGAGUGAGUGAGUGUGUUGUGUGUGAGUGAGUGAGAGUGAGUGAGUGUGUGAGUGAGUGAGUGAGUGAGUGAGUGAGUGAGUGAGUGAGUGAGAGAGAGUGAGUGAGUGAGUGUGUGAGUGAGUGAGUGAGUGAGUGAGUGAGUGAGUGAGUGAGUGAGUGAGUGAGUGAGUGAGUGAGUGAGUGAGUGAGAGAGAGUGAGAGAGUGAGUGAGUGAGUGAGUGUGUGAGUGAGUGAGUGAGUGAGUGAGUGCUUGAGAGAGUGUGUGAGUGAGUGUGUGAGUGAGUGAGUGAGUGAGUGAGUGAGAGAGAGUGUGAGUGAGUGUGUGAGUGAGUGAGUGAGUGAGUGAGUGAGUGAGUGAGUGUGUGAGUGAGUGAGUGAGUGA